rnacentral:rRNA from 1 species
GUAUCAAUAAGCGGAGGAAAAGAAACUAACAAGGAUUCCCCUAGUAACUGCGAGUGAAGCGGGAAAAGCUCAAAUUUAAAAUCUGGCAUCUUUCAGGUGUCCGAGUUGUAUCCUGGAGAAGUGUCUUCCGUGCUGGACCAUGUACAAGUUUCUUGGAAUAGAACAUCAUAGAGGGUGAGAAUCCCGUCUUUGACAUGGACUACCAGUGCUCUGUGAUGCACUCUCAAAGAGUCGCGUUGUUUGGGAAUGCAGCGCAAAAUGGGUGGUAAAUUCCAUCUAAAGCUAAAUAUUGGCGAGAGACCGAUAGCGCACAAGUA